UCCUGGUGGCUUAGGUGGAAAAGAAUUUGUCUACAAUGCAGGAGACUCAGGUUCAAUCCCUGGAUCGGGAA
rfam:Ovis aries breed Texel chromosome 15, whole genome shotgun sequence.